rnacentral:SRP_RNA from 1 species
GCCGGACUUGGUGGCGGGCGCCUAUAGUCCCAGCUACUCAGGAGGCUGAGGCAGGAGGAUCGGUUGAGUCCAGGAGUUCUGGGCCACAGUGUGCUGUGCCCAUCGGUGCCCAUGCUAAGUUUGGCAUGAGUAGGGUACCUCCUGGGAGCAGGGGCCACCAGGUUGCCUAAGGAGGGGUGAAACAACCCAAACAGAGCAGGUCAAAACUCCCAUGCAGAUUAGUAAUGGAGUCGUGGCUGUGGAUAGCCAUUAUACUCCAGCCUUGGGCACCAUAGUGAAACCCCAUCACUU